CGGGGCGUGGCGCAGUCUGGCAGCGCACCUGCUUUGGGAGCAGGGAGUCGGAGGUUCAAAUCCUCUCGCCCCGACCA
rnacentral:tRNA from 1 species